GUUUUAAAAUCUGUUUUCAGAGCUGGAGAGGUAGCUCAGCCGUAAAGAACACAUCCUGGGCUUGCAGAGGACUAGAGUUCAGCUCCCAGCACCUAAGUUGGGUGGGUGGUUCACAACCUUCUAUAACUCCAGCUCCAGGGGCUUCUGGCCUACCUGGUUACCUGCACACGCAUCCACAUAUGGAAGUAAAGUGGAAUAUUUCUUUUUUUUUUUCUUUUUCUUUUUUUCGGAGCUGGGGACCGAACCCAGGGCCUUGGGCUUGCUAGGCAAGCGCUCUACCACUGAGCUAAAUCCCCAACCCCGGAAUAUUUCUUGAAAGGCAAUAUCAUGAGACGUGCUGCUUAGACUUAGGGACUAGGGGAGCGUUAGCCGUUAAGCUGCGGGUCACACACACUUCUCACCCAGUGGAAACACGGUCUGCUGUUUUUGUCAUGGUUAAGAUGUCUCUAGGACAGGCACUAUCGCUGCAGUUUGUAAGAUCUCUCUCUCUCUCUCUCCCCGUGUGUGUGUGUGUGUGUGUGUGUGUGUGUGUGUGUGUGUGUGUGUUCGCUUAUGUGUGCU
rnacentral:lncRNA from 1 species